CUUCUUCCUCAUCACUCCUUCUCUCUCCCCUCUCAUUCUUUCCUUCCCAAAAUUUUAAAGUUAUUCUCCUCUCCACCGCCGAUUACAGCGGCGCCGUCGCCAAAUCCUCUUCUCUUUCCUUGGAUCUCUCCUUUUUAGGGAAGAUGAGUCAGCGUCCACGUCAAAUUUUCACGCCCAGAAAGCGCAAGGCUUGGGAGAGCUGUCCGUCUCUGUUUAAGCCGUCGACUCCAGAGGCUAAUUCGGCUUCGAAAAUAAAGCGAUCGGCUCCUAUUCCAGCAGCGGCUAACCCAGUCUCUCAACUUACAUCUAAUCGGCUUCUAACCGGAUAUAUGGCUCAUGAAUUCUUGAGCAAAGGCACACUGUUCGGUCAAAGUUUCGACCCGGCCCGACUCAAUGCUCUACCCGUCAAAACCAGUUCUUCUGCUGAAUUGAAGAGGGUAAACUCAGAAACCCACCGUAGUUACGUGACGUGGCCAGCAUUUUGAUGAGUGAUGAGAUUCAGAUUCCAGGGAUAGUCAAUCCUACCCAAUUGACUCGGUGGAUGCAAACGUGAGCGGAGAUCGUCACCUGUGUGUAUGUGUUGAUGCGGCGUCGUUUAAAUCGGAUUCUGAACCUUGAUUAGUCCGUGUACAGCAAAAGGUGGUGAGUUUUGUCUCGCAAUCAAAACGCGCAGCCUUUUCCUUCUGGCCUCUCUUUAUGUUUUGCUCUCAAAUUGUCUUUGGGUUAUCUUACAACCUUCCUCUCUGUGAUUUUGUUUUUUUUUUGGAUAGUACUGUGGUUUGGAUGUUGCCGAGCAGAAUAUGGAGGAGAUGGUAAUGUACUGUAACUGUUAACUGAGAGAGGAAGGAAGGAACUCUUUUCAACGUAGUUCUUGUUAAUAAAAGAGUUAUAAUGUGUUGCGAUGAGAUGGAAGUGAAGGUAUGUGGUAAGGAGUUAUGGGAUUCUCUGCUGCACAUGCAGUUUUGUUCAGGUAGGUGGCAAUGCGUUGCUUUCUUCUUGUCAUUUUCUCCAACUGCCUUAAUAUGCCCAGUUCAUGCAUGCCCA